rnacentral:lncRNA from 1 species
AUUCCAGGCUCUGUGAACUAAGUGACUGAAGCUGAUUGACACAGGUCAAGGGGACUUCAAGGAAGAAAGCCAGCCUUAGACUGACAUCAGAGAACCAAACUCCGGUGUCUAAGCUCAAGAGGUUAGAAUCCUGAGAACUGUUUGGAAUAAGGAAUCCAAAUAUUGUCUUCCAGCUUCACCUUGUCACGACAGUCCUCGCCAGGGACAGCUGAGCAUCUACAUCUCCAUUUAUGCCGUGUGCACGCAGUACCAACAGAGGUCAGAGGAGGGUGUCGGAUCCCCUGGAACUGGAGUCACAGAUUCUUCCUUGCGUGGAUGAAACAGUCCCAACGAACACUUUAAAAAGACAAAUGUUCCCGACAGCACUGGUUGAAUUCAAAACUCGGCAGAUCCAUGUUCUUAUCCUUAGACAAGAGAGGGGCCAUAACAAGAUGGAAUGACGGAACAGACGUGAGAGAUGAUGGUACAGUGACUCGGGUAACCCCAGAAAAGGGACAGCUCUUCUACAGCUCAGUGGGGACAGGGACAAAAAGAAACAAUUUCAUUUCAGUCCACCCAGAGGGUCUGCACUUCUCGGAGCCAGAAGGUGGAGAAGAGUAGGGAUGGAGGAAGUUCGAAGUUUUAGGAGUCUGCUCUUGGGUCCCUAGGCAUGAGGACAAGCUUUUCCUGUACUCAAUGCUCAUCUCUCAGUUGUGCCCACAUUGGUACACAUUACUUGCUUUCAACUGCUGCUGCUGCUGUUUCCUAAUUCAAUAAAGAUAUGGCUGGCUCAGC